rnacentral:rRNA from 1 species
CGGACGGGUGAGUAAUGUCUGGGAAAUGCCCGAUGGAGGGGGAUAACUACUGGAAACGGUAGCUAAUACCGCAUAACGUCGCAAGACCAAAGAGGGGGACCUUCGGGCCUCUUGCCAUCGGAUGUGCCCAGAUGGGAUUAGCUAGUAGGUGGGGUAACGGCUCACCUAGGCGACGAUCCCUAGCUGGUCUGAGAGGAUGACCAGCCACACUGGAACUGAGACACGGUCCAG